rnacentral:rRNA from 1 species
CAAUAGCGUGCGCAAAAGUUGUUGCAGUUAAAAAGCUCGUAGUUGAAAUUCUGGUUGGGCACAGGCGCGGCUUAUGUCAGUCUGGAGUCCAAUCAUCCGUCUGCAAACCUAUUUCGGACUUAAUUGUUUCGGGUAGGAGAGCAGACAAUUUACCUUGAAAAAAUUAGAGUGUUUCAGGCAGGUAAUAGCCGGAAUACAUUAGCAUGGAAUAAUGGAACAGGACCUAAAUCCUUUGUUGGUUCAAGGAGUUGGGUAAUGAUUAAUAGGAACAGUUGGGGGCAUUAGUAUUUAAUUGCUAGAGGUGAAAUUCUUGGAUUUAUUAAAGACUAACUUAUGCGAAAGCAUUUGCCAAGGAUGUUUUCAUUA